rnacentral:lncRNA from 1 species
UGUCUGACCCGCUGUCCCCUCCAUCUGUCUGGCUCACAGUCCCCUCCGUCUGCCUGGCCCGCUGUCCCCUCUGUCUGUCUGACCCACCAUCCCCUCUGUCUGUCUGGCCCGCUGUCCAUCUGCCUGGCCUGCCAUCCCCUCCAUCUGUCUGGCCCGCUGUCCGUCUGUCUGGCUCGCUGUCCCCUCCAUCUGUCUGGCUCACAGUCCCCUCCAUCUGUCUGGCUCACAGUUCCCUCCAUCUGUCUGGCUCACAGUCCCCUCCGUCUGUCUGGCUCACAGUCCCCUCUGCCUGGCUCACAGUCCCCUCCAUCUGUCUGGCCUGCUGUCCAUCUGUCUGGCUCGCCAUCCCAUCUGUCUGACCCGCUGUCCCCUCUGUCUGUCUGGCUCACAGUCCCCUCCAUCUGUCUGGCUCACAGUCCCCUCCGUCUGUCUGGCCUGCUGUCCAUCUGUCUGGCUCGCCGUCCCCUCCAUCUGUCUGGCUCGCCAUCCCAUCUGUCUGACCCGCUGUCCCCUCUGUCUGUCUGGCUCACAGUCCCCUCCAUCUGUCUGGCUCACAGUCCCCUCCGUCUGUCUGGCCCGCCAUCCCCUCCCUGCCUUGUCGUCUGGUCCCCUGUGGGGUACCUGCCCUGAGAGCCUGUGGCCCAGGCUUUCUGGCUCCACAUCAGGCCUGGCCCCCAGGUCUGGGCAGUGGAGGUGCAGGCAGACCCCCACCCACGCACCCCAAGGCCCGUCCUCAGGCUCCAGCCCCCCGGGCUCCGCCCCCCCAAGGCUGCUCUGCCCCCGACCCCCAGGUCGUCGUGGCCGUGAUAAGCUUCCUGGAGACGAUGCUGCUCAUUUACCUCAGCUACAAGGGCAACAUCUGCGAGCAGGUCUUCCGCGUCUCCUUCGUGCUGGAGAUGGUGAACACGCUGCCCUUCAUCGUCACGGUGGGUGCGCCCUCCCCCCCUGGCCC